UUUUCUUAACCGGUUUUAAAAUUGGCAAAUGAUACAAAUGAUAAGAUUUCUGUUCUAUACUAGCUGAUGAAGAAGAAAAGAAAAAUAAUAUUUUAAGAAGUAAGGUGAUCGAGCGAAAUCUUUUUUCACUCAACACUCCCAUCUUCACAAUAAAUAGACCCCAACUCUCCGAGAUCACUCAAUAUAUUAAAAUUUUUACUUCACGACCUCAGUUUUCUCUUUGCUAAUCACUUUUGAGAAAUCAUGACUUGCACUUAAGGUUUAUCGGGCUGUUCAUUCGGCACUAGCCGUGCAGGAAGCAAGAUGUACCUAGACUUUGGCGAGAUCACUAACACUCAAACCCCGACAAUCGUAGGUGUUGCUUCUCAGAAACUGCAAGUCUGGAUCUUUGCGGGAUCAGAGAUGGGAGUAGAAGGACGUAUUAAUGAUAUUGACGCUCGGGAUUGUGUUUUGGCUAAUUACUCAACAUGAAGCGGACGAAGAGAUGCUAAGCAUGCCCUAGCCAAACGGUGUUUAGCUUGUUUCUUCUAUCUAGAACUUAUGUAUCAAUGUUGUUGUAAGGAUAAUGUGGGAUAUGUAUAUGGUUGUUCCGAGCAGUAGCACCAUAUAUAUAUAUAUAUACCUACGUACUCAACUAUAAUGGUGUCGUUUAUGUGGUUCCAA